rnacentral:rRNA from 1 species
GAUGAACGCCGGCGGCGUGCCUAAUACAUGCAGGUCGAGCGAACGGAUAAGGAGCUUGCUCCUUUGAAGUUAGCGGCGGACGGGUGAGUAACACGUGGGUAACCUACCUAUAAGACUGGAAUAACUUCGGGAAACCGGAGCUAAUGCCGGAUAACAUUUGGAACCGCAUGGUUCUAAAAGUAAGAGAUGGUUUUGCUAUCACUUAUAGAUGGACCCGCGCCGUAUUAGCUAGUUGGUAAAGGUAACGGCUUACCAAGGCAACGAUACGUAGCCGACCUGAGAGGGUGAUCGGCCACACUGGGACUGAGACACGGCCCAA